UAACCGCAUCAGGUCUCC
rnacentral:snRNA from 1 species